rnacentral:rRNA from 1 species
UACGAAGGGGGCUAGCGUUGCUCGGAAUCACUGGGCGUAAAGAGCGUGUAGGCGGCCAGGUAGGUCUGCUGUGAAAACUCGAGGCUCAACCUCGAGAUGUCGGCGGAAACCAUCUGGCUAGAGUCCGGAAGAGGAGAAUGGAAUUCCCGGUGUAGCGGUGAAAUGCGCAGAUAUCGGGAGGAACACCAAUGGCGAAGGCAGCUCGCUGGGACGUUACUGACGCUGAGACGCGAAAGCGUGGGGGAGCAAACAGG